UUUUGGAUUUGAAUAAUUUGAAUCCGGAUUCAAAAAGGAAUAGUAAAUCUUAAGUUGAACCCCAAGAAAUUUUAAUUUUUAGAUCCGAAUCUGAUUCCGAAAUUGAUAGUAAAAUUUUAGACUAAAUCCGGUAAUCUCUGACUUCAGAGUCCGGACGGAUUGAAUAAUACCGGAACGGCUUCCACUCCAAGAUAUGUAUAACUAUAAAUUUUGAUUGCCCCAAAAAAAAGAAAAAAAAAAUAUAAGACCACUGCAGCAGCACUGCACCACAGUUCGAAAUUGCCUUUUUUAAUUAGCAUUGAUUUUCUUAAUUGCCAUAAAAAAAUUAUUUUCUUAAUUUACACCUCUUUAUACUAUCAUUUUUCUUUUUUUCUUUUAAAGUUAGACCCAUAGGUGAAAAGUAUAUAAAUUUUUAUUAUACCUAAUUAUUCAAAAUCUAUAUAAAUUAGAGAGGCCACUGGAAUCUUUUUUCAAAACCACAUUGCUGUCAUAAACCAGAAUAAAAAACCUUAGCUUUCGGAGGCCUAAGCUGCUUCCAUCCCUGUAUGCUCAAUUUAUUUUACUUAAUGAAUGAAGCAGAUAGCUUGCUAUCUAUUUCUCAAAAAAAAAAAAAAAAAAAAACCUUAGCUUUCGUUUGUAUCCGUUGGCACUCUCAUUACAUUAUUAGAGACAACAGCUCAUUUGUUUUUCAUUGUUGUCACUAUUGCCAUACAUCUCAACUGCUACUCUACUCUUGAUUGUCUUUACAUAGAUUUAAGAAAAAAAAGAAAAUACCCAUGUUAUUAAUAUAGAGGUCUAAUUGAGACAAAUAAAUAUAAGUGAAAAAAAUAAAAGUUGAGUGGGGCAAUUUCAUACGCCCCACUUCGUAAAAGAGAGCAAUGAUCAUGGUGGCCGACCUGGCUCUAUCUAUAAGUGAACAUGUAAAAUGUAAUUAAAUAAAUGUGUGCCAGCCGUAGUUUAAUUGUAGUUGCUCAUGAUUAAAUUGCCUACAGCUGCAAUCCUUACUGUUACAUACUUCUGCACGUUAUACAUCUCCUUUUGUUACCGGUAAAUUGCAAGUUUUAGAGGACUUACAUGCAGCAUCUAGAGAUUUUUAAUGAACUUGCUC
rnacentral:lncRNA from 1 species